rnacentral:rRNA from 1 species
AAUGAACGCUGGCGGCGCGCCUAAUACAUGCAAGUCGAGCGAGAAGACGUAGCAAUACGUUUGUAAAGCGGCGAACGGGUGAGGAAUACAUGGGUAACCUACCCUUGAGUGGGGAAUAACUAGCCGAAAGGUUAGCUAAUACCGCGUACGCUUCCUGGACUUCGGUUCAGGGAGGAAAGCGAUGCCGAGGGUAUCGCGCUCUUGGAUGGGCUCAUGUCCUAUCAGCUUGUUGGGAGGUAACGGCUCACCAAGGCUUCGACGGGUAGCUGGUCUGAGAGGACGAUCAGCCACACUGGCACUGCGACACGGGCCAGACUCCUACGGGAGGCAGCAGUAAGGAAUAUUGCGCAAUGGGCGAAAGCCUGACGCAGCGACGCCGCGUGGGGGAGUGAAGGUCUUCGG